rnacentral:rRNA from 1 species
CCUACGGGGCGCACCAGUGGGGAAUCUUGGACAAUGGGCGAAAGCCCGAUCCAGCAAUAUCGCGUGAGUGAAGAAGGGCAAUGCCGCUUGUAAAGCUCUUUCGUCGAGUGCGCGAUCAUGACAGGACUCGAGGAAGAAGCCCCGGCUAACUUCGUGCCAGCAGCCGCGGUAAUACGAAGGGGGCUAGCGUUGUUCGGAAUUACUGGGCGUAAAGCGCGCGUAGGCGGAUAGAUAAGUCAGAGGUGAAAUCCCGGGGCUCAACCCCGGAAUUGCCUUUGAUACUGUUUAUCUUGAGUGCAGAAGAGGUAAGUGGAAUUCCGAGUGUAGAGGUGAAAUUCGUAGAUAUUCGGAGGAACACCAGUGGCGAAGGCGGCUUACUGGUCUGCAACUGACGCUGAGGCGCGAAAGCGUGGGGAGCAAACAGGAUUAGAUACCCGCGUAGUC